GAGUUCAUGCCCUUCGGGGUAGAUCUCCCACCCUUUGUAUACCAUACCUCUGUUGCUUUGGCGGGCCGCCUAGCUACUGGCUUCGGCUGGUAAGUGCCCGCCAGAGGACCCAAGACCCUGAAUAUUAAUGUCGUCUGAGUAAAAUUUUAAUAUUUAAAACUUUCAACAACGGAUCUCUUUGCUCU
rnacentral:misc_RNA from 1 species